rnacentral:lncRNA from 1 species
AAGCACAAGCCUUCACCAACUCCAUACUACUACAAAUCACCUCCACCUCCCUCACCGGUUUACAAGUACAAAUCGCCACCUCCACCGGUCCAUUACUAUUCACCUCCAUAUUACUACAAGUCACCUCCACCUCCCUCACCAGUUUACAAGUACAAUUCCCCACCUCCACCAGUCCACCAUUAUGAUCCUCCAUAUUACUACAAGUCACCUCCACCUCCCUCACCAGUUUACAAGUACAACUCCCCACCUCCACCAGUCCACCAUUACGAUCCUCCAUAUUACUACAAGUCACCUCCACCUCCCUCACCGGUUUACAAGUACAACUCCCCACCUCCACCAGUCCAUUAUUAUUCACCUCCAUAUUACUACAAAUCACCCCCUACUCCUGUGAAAUCGCCACCACCUCCAUACUACUAUAAAUCACCGCCUCCUCCCUCACCAGUUUAUAAGUAUAGCUCACCACCUCCACCAGUCCACCAUUAUGAUCCUCCAUAUAACUACAAGUCACCUCCACCGCCUUCACCUGUUUACAAGUACAACUCCCCACCUCCACCAGUCCAUUAUUAUUCACCUCCAUAUUACUACAAAUCACCCCCUCCUCCUGUGAAAUCGCCACCACCUCCUUACUACUAUAAAUCACCUCCUCCUCCCUCACCGGUUUACAAAUACAACUCACCACCUCCACCGGUUUACAAGUACAACUCACCACCUCCGCCAGUCCAUUAUUACUCUCCUCCAUAUUACUAUAAGUCACCUCCACCUCCUUCACCGGUUUACAA